UACUUUCAGUUUGAGUGGUGUGCUAAUCAAGCGCACAGAACAUCACACUUGUACAAUGGGUCAAACAGGCUAGAAUUAGUGCAGCACACUAGUCUGCUUCCAGAUUUCUGAUGGUUUGUCAAGAUCGAUCGUCUGCAUUAUAACAUUACUGGCUGAAGACGGCUGCACGGACGUUGUUUGCGGCAGCAGAGCAGUGUUAGUUAAGGCCUAAGAGUGGGCCCCAGUGGCUGAGGGGGGCACACCAAUGUGUCCUGUGAAGUUGAUCGAAGAUAGUUUAAUGAAGUGGCCUGAGAGUGAAUGGAGACGACUGUCCCUCGCUGCACAGAUGGCUGCUUUGUCACUGGUGACACCUGCCAUCUGCUUGUUUGUCUAAAUGAUGUUGGACGGGCCAGUGCGAGGACCCAAUCUACUAAACUGGCUGCAACCGGCCCUGGGUGACCCCCUGACCUCUGUGUCAGACAGGUCCAGUGAGUUUGUUCUUUCUGCUCAGCGUGUACUUCUUUAUGUUGCUAACCUCUCUCUGGCCUCUGAGUUGCAACCCAGCUGUCAGCGGAUGACUCACAGAUUGGAGACCUUUGUCAAUAUUCACCACGAGCAAUCUUCUACUAAGGACUCACUUACUCAAGGGCAUUUGAAUCCAGAUCUACCACACACCUGAACAUGAAGGAGAACUUACUGCUAACCCAAAUGUCUUUGAGGUGUGGAAGAAAUGUGAGCACCUGGGGGAAAACAAUGCAGUCACAAAGAGAAGAACAGGCAGGAUCAAACCUGGACACAAGAACGGCAAGGUUUGGAGACCUGUCUGACUGGAUACAGCAUGGAAUAAUCCCUUCAGCCCAGUGAGUCACACCGACCGGCAAACACUGAGAACUGUGGACUGUGGAAGGAAACACGAGGACCCAGGGAAGACCCUAUCGUUCUACGGGGAUGACGUACAGAGACUCCGACAGAGGACGCCAGCACUGAACUUUGAACUCUGACACCCCAAACAGGAAUCGAUUCACAUUAACUGCUACACCACUAUGGUGCCCAUGGUUGAUGGGGAGAAGGGAGGUAUUAAAUGAGUACAGGUAAUUGGAAAGUGAAGUAACAGUAUCGUUAAAGCACAAGUGUUUCCUUUCACAGUUACACACACAGAGUACUGGAGGAACAGCAAGCCAGGCAGCAUUGAUGGAGGAGAAUACAGAGCCAACAUUUCAGGUUGAGACCCUACCUUAGGCUCGUCUGGUGUGCUUAUGUUUCUCUUUGCAUUCCGCUUUUCCCUGUUCACUUCUUACGCUCUCUUGCAGUUAUAACUGUGCUUGGCUACGUACAUAUAUAUGUGUGUGCGUGUGUGUUUUAUGUACUGUAUAUGUACAUUCAGCUUUGUUCAAAAUAAGUUUACUAUCAAAGUACAUAAAUGUCACCAUAUACAGCCCUGUGAUUCAUUUUCCAGUGGGCAUACACAGUAAACACAAGGAAACACAAUAGAAUCAAUGAAAAACUACACACAAGAAAAGACAAACAGACAGUGUACAAAACUGUGCAAUUACAAAAAUAAAAUAGCAAAUAAAUAAUAAAUUAUCAAAAUCAGUUUUAUUAUCACUGAUAUGUGUUGUAAAAUCUGUUGUCUUUCAGCAGUAGUACAUUGUAAUACAUAAUCACCAUAACCAUAUAACAAUUACAGCACAGAAACAGGCCAUCUCAGCCCUUCUGGUCCAUGCCGAACUCUUACUCUCACCUAGUCCCACUGACCUGCAUUCAGCAGUUAACCCUCCAUUCCUUUCCUGUCCGUAUAUCUAUCCAAUUUAACUUUAAACGACAACAUCGAACCUGCCUCAACCACUUCUGCUGGAAGCUCGUUCCACACAGCUACCACUCUCUGAGUAAAGAAGUUCCCCCUCAUGUUACCCCUAAACUUUUGCCCUUUAUCUCUCCACUCAUGUCCUCCUGUUUGAAUCUCCCCCACUCUCAAUGGAAAAAGCCUAUCCAUGUCAACUCUAUCUAUCCCCUUCAUAAUUUUAAAUACCUCUAUCAAGUCUCCCCUCAACUUUCUACGCUCUAAAGAAUAAAGACCUAACUUGUUCAACCUUUCUCUGUAACUUAGGAGAUGAAACCCAGGCAACAUUUUAGUAAAUCUCCUCUGUACUCUCUCAAUUUUAUUGACAUCUUUCCUAUAAUUCGGUGACCAGAACUGUACGCAAUACUCCAAAUCUGGCCUCACCAAUGCCUUAUACAAUUUCAACAUUACAUCCCAACUCCUAUACUCAAUGCUCUGAUUUAUAAAGGCCAGCAUACCAAAAGCUUUCUUCACCACCCUAUCCACAUGAAAUUCCACCUUCAGGGAACUAUGCACCAUUAUUCCUAGAUCCCUCUGUUCUACUGCAUUCUUCAAUGCCCUAUCAUUUACCAUGUAUGUCUUAUUUUGAUUAGUCCUACCAAAAUGUAGCACCUCACAUUUUUCGGCAUUAAACUCCAUCUGGAAUCUUUCAGCCCACUCUUCUAACUGGCCUAAAUCUCUCUGCAAGCUUUGAAAACCUUUUCAUUAUCCACAGCUCCACCUAUCUUAGUAUCAUCUGCAUACUUACCAAUCCAAUUUACCACCCCAUCAUCCAGAUCAUUAAUAUAUAUGACAAAUAACAUUGGACCCAAUACAGAUGCCUAAGGCACACCGCUACACACCGUCCUCCAAUCUGUCACACAGUUAUCUACCAAUACUCUCUGGCAUCUCCCAUCCAGCCACUGCUGAAUCCAUUUUAUUACUUCGAUAUUAAUGCCUAAUGAUUGAACCUUCCUAACUAACCUUCUGUGUGGAACCUUGUCAAAUGCCUUACUGACGUCCAUAUAGACAACAUCCACCGCUUUACCCUCGUCAACUUUCUUAUAAUAGAUAAACUAUCAAUUACAAUAUGAACUAUAUACAGUAUAUAUAAAAUUAAAUAAGUCAACCAAAAAGAAAGCAAAAAAGAAAAAUAAAAAAGGUGAGGUAGUGUAGAUAGGUCCAUUGUCCAUUCAGAAACCUGAAGUCAGAAGGGAAGAAAAUGUUGAGAGUACGUCCUUCCUGAUGGGAAGAGGCAUGUCCUGGGUGGUGGGGGCCCUCAAUAAGGGAUGUUGCCUUUUUGAGGCAUCACCUUUUGAAGAUGUCCUCGAUGGUGGGGAGACUAGUGCCUAUGCUGGAGCUGGCUGGGUUUGCAGCUUUCUACAGUUUUUCCCGAUCCUGUGCGGUGGCCCCUCCAUGCCAGACAGUGAUGCGACCAGUCAGAAUGCUCCCCAUCUGUAGAAAUCUGAGUGAGUCGUUGGUGAUGUACUGUACUAAUUCUCCUCAGGCUCCUUUCUGUGCACAUGUCAUACAAGGCACAUGCACAUGUCAUACAAUGCGUGUGCACAUGUAGUGUUAGCCUGUGUGAAUUGUGGAAAAUCACACCAUUAUAGGCCAAGUUGGAGAAAGCAAGUUGCCAAUGUUUCUGAACUGAGAUUUCCACUGAGCUGCUCUUUUCACAGUGUCUUGCAGAGUUUGGCAGCAGCCACACAGUCACACCACAGGCCCUCACAAAAAGAUAAACAGGCAGUAUGGAGUGAAGUGAGCAGUGAGGAACAGCAUAAAGUAUUCACUGCUUCCUCCGAGAUAAGCCACAUUCUCAUCUUUUUUAAUGAACUGCCAUAACCCAGUAGCUUAUUUUGAAAACUGAAGGUGAAAUAUACAAAGCUGAAUAGUCUCUCCUGAAAAAUUCCUCUCUGUAUUUCUGUACCAUGUACAUCCCUCCUGAGUCUCCAUCAAGAAACCUGAGCAUUAUGUCUGUUAGGAGCGUGAAAAUACAACAGUCACACAAUAACAGCCUAAGUCACUGAGCUUUCUCUUCCAUGGAAGGAAGAUUGCUUCGUUUUUCUUUGAUGGUACUUAUUAGGAGAGCCGGAAAAGGAGACGGAGAUAAAAAAACAAACAAAAAUCCCAGAGGAAAAAAUCCAGUGAUUUGAUUGCUGCUCCCCUCCCCCAAUCAUCACACCACAUCCAAAUGGCUUUCCUCAUAGAUAUUGUAGAAAUCAGAGACAUUGUUCCUUUCAGAAAGAUAAAUAUUCAAGGCUUAGAAGAGCUAGGGGUAGGCUAGCAAUGGGGAGAGGGAUGGUGCUGGAUAGCAUUCCAAUUUUCAGACUUGUCUAAAGCCUAUCCACUUUAUAUCUAAACAGCACCAACGGAGGACAACACAAACCCCAGCUGGGCAAAGAAUUCUGGGCUCUGUCUGCACUGCAUAGAGCGAUUGCCAUUUUAUAUGGAUUUUCUGGGAUUUGCCUGAAUCACUUUGGACUCUUGCUAUAAACCCUCCAGUCCCCUGUCCCUUUAGAGAUUUCUAAAAGGAAAUGAUCUGUCAGUACACGUCUGAUCAGAAAUAGAAUUAUCACUAAUAUUGGUCGUGAAAUGUGUUGUUUUGUAGCAGCAGUGCAGUGUAAUGCAUCAAGAAUAUAUAAAUUGCAAUAAAAUUUAUAAAAGGACUAAAUUAUCUAGGUAGUGCAAGUAGAGGGCAAGAAUGAUGAGUUCAUGGAUUGGUUCGGAAAUCUGAUGGCAUAGGGGAAGAAGUCGUUCCUGUCUUCAGGCUCCCUUACCUCCUCCCUGAUGGUAGCAAUGAGAAGACAGCACAUCCUGGGUAAUGCAGUUCCUUAAUUAUGGUCUUUAAGAUGCCCUUGAAAACUCCCGCCAGUUAGCUGGCACGGGUUUUCAGUGCUCAACCAGGCACAUCAUAGAGCAACAGAAGUCUUCAGCCAAAAAAACAAUGGUUCAUUGAAGCCAGGGAGAAAGAGCAAAUCCAGCCUUCAGCAGAAGCUGAUUAUCAAAAGCAUGAGGACAUGAGGUACAUGAGGCUCGGAGCAAUUACCUUAUCUAAAUGUUCAUUCACAGGACGAUGCAGUUAGUGCCCUUUCCAAUUUAACCCCUGAGUUUAGUGGACUAUGAGGCUAUUUCAGAGUGCAGUUCAAGGUCGCCACCUCAUUCGGUCAGGAGUCACGUACAGUUGAAAGAUUUCCCUCACUUUCCUGGUUUUAUUUUGUUGGUUGAUGGCUCCCAGUCCAUAUUUCUUUAGAGAGACUUAAACCCACAUCUUCAGAUCAAUCGUCCAUGCCUCAGUUAAUUAACCAGUUUAGAGACUGCAUUAAGAAAUCUUAAAGGCAAUUUUGGCUUCUUGCUCAUCUCUAAAUUUAAUUGCAGCACCAGUGGUGUCCCAGAAUGGGAUGGAUCACCAUCCAUAAACACCUUCACCCUUUUCUCCCUCCUCAACACAGAACUUCUUUAUAAAGCAUUUGGUUAUUUGAAGUAAUACCUCUUUACUUCUUGGUAUUAAAAUUUGAUUAUGCUGCUGUGAAGUAUUUUAAAUUUGUUUCCUUGUGCUAAGAUGCUCUAUAAUUCAAGCUAUUAUUAAUGUUGUGGAUCAAAUUCACUUAACUAAUUUGAACUUACAUCUUCUGUCAGUCUUAUUAUUACUCAUAGAUGAUAGAGACAGACGCUGACAAAGGGUUAAAUGUCUGUUGAAGGCUGGAAGGGUGGUCUCAGGAUGUGGGACAUGGGUGGGACGUGUCAGCAGCAAGGAAGCACUGAUUCACAGCAUCUUCAAAGAGGAAAUGGGCACAGAUUCUGAAGGAAAUUGUUUUGAGUUCCUGAUUAAUCAGGUAGGCAGGGCCCGACUGGUGUUCCUGCUCUUUCCCACUGUUCUCAAGCUACUCCUGUAUGUUGCCCCUGAAAUUGACAGAUCCAGAGGCUUCAACAGGAGCCCUGUGAAGGAGAAGUGUUUGGGGGUUGGGAGGUGGAAAUGCUAACCGCAACCAGUUUAGAAAUGUCAAAUGAGUAACGAGGAAAUAUCAUCAGAAAUCUCUACUCCUCGAUGUGAGCAGUGAUUUAAAAGAUUUAUAUUUGAAACUCAUGCUUGGAGAGAGUGGGGUGUGGUGUGGUGUGGAGUGGAGUGAGGAAAUGUUGUACAGGACAUUAGAAAGUUAGUUACAAUGCACUGGUUGUGCUGAGAGUGAAGUAUUUGCAUGCUCAAAUGCAUUGCCUUUAUUUGUAUGAAGUCCACUGGCAGUCCUAGCCAAUAUAUCCCUCUCCUUAUACAUUCCCAACUCUGUGACAAUAGCGUUAAUACACUGGCAAUUGUCUCUCUGUUCAUUGAUGCAAUCCUGCAGUGUGUCAAAUGGUAACCAAUUUGCCCAUAGUAAGGGCACUGAAACACCAAAUAUCUAACCCUAAUUCUCCUGUGCAUUUCAGAUUCAGAUUGAUUUAUUUAUCAUAUUUACAUUGAAACAUACAGUGCCUAUAAUAAAUAUUCACCACCCCCCCUCCGGAAGUUUUCAUGUUUUAUUGUUUUACAACACUGAAUUACAGUGGACUUAAGUUGUUUUUUUUACACUGAUCAACAGAAAAAGACUCUCUUCAAAGUGAAAAUAGAUCUCUACAAAGAUUUCUAAAUGAAUUACAAAUAUAAAACACAAAAUAGUUGAUCGCAUAAUUGAUUCAUCCCCUUCAAGUCAGUAUUUAGUAGAUGCACCUUUGGCUGCAAUUACAGCCUUGAGUCUGUGUGGAUAGGUCCCUAUCAGCUUUGAAUAUUUGUUAUAGGCACUGUAUGUUUCAAUGUAAAUGUGAUAAAUAAAUCAAUCUGAAUCUGAAAUUCAGAUUUCAGAUCUGAAAUCUGGGAGGGGAACAAAUCUUCUCCCAAAUCACAGUUCUCUUGCAGACUGUAUCAGGUUUUCCUCCAGGACUUCCCUAUAUUUUGCUGCAUUCAUUUUGCCCUCUACUUUCACAAGUCUUCCAGGGUCUGCUGCAGUGAAGCAUCCCCACAGUAUGAUGCAGCCACCACCAUGCUUCACGAAAGGGAUGGUGUGUUUUUGAUGAUGUGCGGUGUUUGGCUUAUGCCGAACGUACCAUUUAGUCUGAUGGCCAAAAAGCUCAAUUUUGGUUUCAUCAGAACCUUCUUCCAGCUGACUUCAGAGUCUCCCACACGCCAUCUGGCAAACUCUAGCUGAGAUUUCAUGUGAGUUUUAUUCAACAGUGGCUUUCUCUUUGCCACUCUCCCAUGACUGGUGAUGCACCUGGGCAACAAUUGUUGUAUGCACAAGUCUCUCCCAUCUCAGCCACUGAAGCUUGUAACUCCUCUAGAGGUGUCAUAGGUCUCUUGGUGGCCUCCCUCACUUCUUGCAUGGUCACUCAGUUUUUGAGGACAGCCUGCUUUAGGCAGAUUUAGAGCUGUGCCAUAUUCUAUCCAUUUCUUGAUAAUUGACUUAACUGUACUCCAAGGGAUAUUCAGUGACUUGGAAAUUUUCUUGUAUCCAUCUCCUGACUUGUGCUUUUCAAUAUCCUUUUUGUGAAGUUGAUUGGAAUGUUCUUUUGUCUUCAUGGUGUAAUUUUUGCCAGGAUACAAUCACAAUCAAUUGGACCUUCCAUAUGCAGGUGUAUUUUUACUACAAUCUAUUGAAACACUUUGACUGCACACAGUGAUCUCCAUUUAACUAAUUAUGUGACUUCUAAAACCAAUUGGCUGCACCAGUGAUGAUUAGUGUGUCAGAUUAAAGAGGGUGAGUACUUAUGCAAUCAAUUAUUUUGUGUUUUAUAUUU